UGCAUUUGUUACUGUCUUACUUGAUCACUAUGUGAUUUUAGAAUUUAAGAUAUGAUUGUAUUACCGGGUGCUUGUUUAUUGUUUAUGUGAUUAUGUUCAACUUGGUAACGAAGACUAAGGGAAAACAGAUAAGGUACAGCCUCACUAGAUAUUCUAGAAGCCGGAUUCAUAGGAAACCCUACCGUGAACGUCGUCUCAUACCGGACGGGGUAUGGAGACUUGGUCAUUUGGCACUCAUAUCGAACGGGGUAUGGGAAC
rnacentral:lncRNA from 1 species